GCCAAGGUGCCAACCUUUCGUACCCAGUCCGAGCGCGGGCGCCCGGAUCCAUCUGCCCUGCCACGUGCGCGGGUCUGACCACUCCCACCCAGACACCCAGGAGCGCCGGCCCCCUGCCCCCUCCCCCAUCGCCCGGCCUUUCCCAAACGAACCACAGUAGAAGGACUCGGGGCUUUGGAGUCAGAUUCGCUGGGUUCCAGCUCAGGAUUCUCUACUUUUUAGGUGGGUGGUGUUGGACAAACUCAGAUGCUGGGUUCCAGUUCGCAAAAUGGAGAGCCGCUGAGGUUGCCGCAGCAUUUACUGACCCCGGCAGCGGAUCCUGGCUCGGCCUCCAAACGAUGGUGGGACCUCUCAAAAGACCUCGGUUUUGCAAUGAGAGCGACAGUGCCUGGCCUACCUUCGUGGGGAAGAUGAUGUCAUGAGGGCUAACGAGAUCACAUCCGUGACAACACUGUGGAAUUACAGCUCUCUCCAUCAGCUGACUCCCCACGCUGCUCUCCACCCUCCCUGGCCCUUUCCUGUCGCCCCUCUGUGAUCCCAGGAACAGAGCUGUGGAUGUGAACGGAGCUUGGACGCCCCCACUUCUGGGUGACUUCACUCCACCCCAUAACCUCCAGCUUCUGAGGAACAAGAGGGUUGAAGCUGGACUCACAGAGGAAGGAGGUCACCUCCACCAACACACAGGGAGGCUCCAAGUACAGUACGAAUGGCCCCAAAGCAGAGCCCUUAUAGAAGCAGAGUCACUGAAAUAAAGUGCAAGAGUCAAAUUGCCCAGUUUCCACUGUAAAGAAGCCAGAAAAGCCACAGGCUCCUCAUGUAAGAAAUGGGAAGCACGCAUUGAUAAGCAAACGCACGUAAAGUGUUUAGCAAGGGUUUGCCGUAUACUAAGCAUUCAAUCAGUGGUAGCAAUGUUAAUCAUUUGUAUUAACGAUAAUAACUUCAGUGUCCUAUUUUUUAAAAUUUUUAUUGAAAUAUAGUUGAUUCACAAUGUUGUGUUAGUUUCAGGUGUCCAUGUCCUAGUUUUAAUGUUACAAGGAAUUUUUAGUAGUCUGUGCCAACUGUCGAUGCCAUUACACAUAGCCCGGCACAAAAGGAGCAUUUCUUUCAUUGUUUACGAUAAAUGCCUAUUUACUCAGCAGGUUUAAAGUCUUGAGACACGUGGUAUUCAACUGUUCCAAUAAAAUUGUGUUUAAA